GUAGGUGAACCUGCGGAAGGAUCAUUAACAAAAUGUUUUUUUUGCUUGGAACGUUCAAUCUCUCUGGUUGAUCGUUUUCAAGUGAAAAUAUGGACAUAAAAAAUCCAUAUCCACCCCAUUGUGCACCGUUUCCUGUCUUUGCUUUUCCGGUGGUUCUAGGCUUCACAAGGAGCUACCCACCGGGAAGGCGUUCUUCUAAACACCUAUUAUUUUUUUCCAAGUCAUUGUAAAAUAUUUUUUUUUGUAAGUUUACUCUAUGAAAAAAAAAAAAAAUUGUAAUCAAAUACAACUUUCAACAAUGGAUCUCUUGGCUCUC
rnacentral:misc_RNA from 1 species